rnacentral:rRNA from 1 species
GUGCUUAACACAUGCAAGUCGAACUAUGAUCAGGAGCUUGCUUCUGUGAUUAGUGGCGAACGGGUGAGUAACACGUGAGUAACCUGCCCCUGACUCUGGGAUAAGCGUUGGAAACGACGUCUAAUACUGGAUAUGACUUCCGGCCGCAUGGUCUGGUUGUGGAAAGAUUUUUUGGUUGGGGAUGGACUCGCGGCCUAUCAGCUUGUUGGUGAGGUAAUGGCUCACCAAGGCGACGACGGGUAGCCGGCCUGAGAGGGUGACCGGCCACACUGGGACUGAGACACGGCCCAGACUCCUACGGGAGGCAGCAGUGGGGAAUAUUGCACAAUGGGCGAAAGCCUGAUGCAGCAACGCCGCGUGAGGGAUGACGGCCUUCGGGUUGUAAACCUCUUUUAGUAGGGAAGAAGCGAAAGUGACGGUACCUGCAGAAAAAGCACCGGCUAACUACGUGCCAGCAGCCGCGGUAAUACGUAGGGUGCAAGCGUUGUCCGGAAUUAUUGGGCGUAAAGAGCUCGUAGGCGGUUUGUCGCGUCUGCUGUGAAAUCCCGAGGCUCAACCUCGGGCUUGCAGUGGGUACGGGCAGACUAGAGUGCGGUAGGGGAGAUUGGAAUUCCUGGUGUAGCGGUGGAAUGCGCAGAUAUCAGGAGGAACACCGAUGGCGAAGGCAGAUCUCUGGGCCGUAACUGACGCUGAGGAGCGAAAGCAUGGGGAGCGAACAGGAAUAGAUACCCUGGUAGUUCAUGCCGUAACCGUUGGGCGCUAGAUGUAGGGACCUUUCCACGGUUUCUGUGUCGUAGCUAACGCAUUUAGCGCCCCGCCUGGGGAGUACGGCCGCAAGGCUAAAACUCAAAGGAAUUGACGGGGGCCCGCACAAGCGGCGGAGCAUGCGGAUUAAUUCGAUGCAACGCGAAGAACCUUACCAAGGCUUGACAUACACCGGAAACGGCCAGAGAUGGUCGCCCCCUUGUGGUCGGUGUACAGGUGGUGCAUGGUUGUCGUCAGCUCGUGUCGUGAGAUGUUGGGUUAAGUCCCGCAACGAGCGCAACCCUCGUUCUAUGUUGCCAGCGGGUUAUGCCGGGGACUCAUAGGAGACUGCCGGGGUCAACUCGGAGGAAGGUGGGGAUGACGUCAAAUCAUCAUGCCCCUUAUGUCUUGGGCUUCACGCAUGCUACAAUGGCCGGUACAAAGGGCUGCGAUACCGUAAGGUGGAGCGAAUCCCAAAAAGCCGGUCUCAGUUCGGAUUGAGGUCUGCAACUCGACCUCAUGAAGUCGGAGUCGCUAGUAAUCGCAGAUCAGCAACGCUGCGGUGAAUACGUUCCCGGGCCUUGUACACACCGCCCGUCAAGUCAUGAAAGUCGGUAACACCCGAAGCCGGUGGCCUAACCCUUGUGGAAGGAGCCGUCGAAGGUGG